UACGUAGGGGGCAAGCGUUGUCCGGAUUUAUUGGGCGUAAAGAGCUCGUAGGUGGUUCGGUAAGUCGGAUGUGAAAUCCCUGGGCUCAACCCAGGAACUGCGUCCGAUACUGGUUGGCUUGAAUCCGGGAGAGGGACGUGGAAUUCCAGGUGUAGCGGGUUGGAAAUGCGUAGAUAUCUGGAGGAACACCGGUGGCGAAGGCGACGUCCUGG
rnacentral:rRNA from 1 species